AGAACCGCCUUCAGGCGUUUGGACUCAGUGGAGGUUGUGAGUGCCCAGCAGUGUGGCCUGAAUCUCCGUGGGGUUUAGGGAGACGAAAGGACCCCAGAUCGACGUCCCCUCGUUCCCACUUUGGGGAUCGGCGCUCUGGCUGUUUCGUGAAGGAGAGAGAGGUUGAUUCCAUACCCUGGCUAUUGUGAAUAAUGCUGCAGUGAACAUGGGAGUACAUACAUCUGUUUGAGGAACUCAGAGUGGUUUUCCAGAUGGGAAUCACAUUGCUCUCUGUCCCUGAGAUCUUGCUGGAGACAGGGCUACUCAGUCCCUCUUUGCCAGGUAAUCUGUUCCAGAAGAAACAUGUGUCGUUCUGACUGAGCCCCUGCCUGUCUGUCACCUUAAGAGCCAGUCAAUUCAUAUGGUCCCCAUAUCAAAGUCUCCUGUGCCCAGAGAGAGGAUUUCAUUUCAACCAUCACCAUCACCACCAUCAUCAUCAUCACCAAGAGAUGUUGUUGAAUUGAUACUGGAAAAGCAGUUUCUAUUGAGCCCCCAAAUGAAGAGUGAGUGCAGAUGAAGAGGAGGCAGGACUCACAAGCCCUUGAACUUUAUUCCAGAUCUGUUAGCACCUACAGGACCCUGCACCAGGAUUUCAUCUGUACUAUCAGCUUCUUCAAAGAGAGAGAGGUUGUUGAAUUGAUAUUGGAAAAGCAGUUUCCCAUUGAGUCUCAAAUGAAGAGAGUGCAGAUGAAGAGGAGGUAGGAGUCACAAGCCCUUGACCCUCAUGCUAGACCCAUUACCACCCACAGGACCUUGCAGUGGGAUUUCAUCUGCACCAUCAGCUUCUUCAGAGAGAGAG
rnacentral:lncRNA from 1 species